rnacentral:rRNA from 1 species
GACGAACGCUGGCGGCGUGCCUAAUACAUGCAAGUAGAACGCUGAAGAGGGGAGCUUGCUCUUCUUGGAUGAGUUGCGAACGGGUGAGUAACGCGUAGGUAACCUGCCUUGUAGCGGGGGAUAACUAUUGGAAACGAUAGCUAAUACCGCAUAACAAUGGAUGACACAUGUCAUUUAUUUGAAAGGGGCAAUUGCUCCACUACAAGAUGGACCUGCGUUGUAUUAGCUAGUAGGUGAGGUAACGGCUCACCUAGGCGACGAUACAUAGCCGACCUGAGAGGGUGAUCGGCCACACUGGGACUGAGACACGGCCCAGACUCCUACGGGAGGCAGCAGUAGGGAAUCUUCGGCAAUGGGGGCAACCCUGACCGAGCAACGCCGCGUGAGUGAAGAAGGUUUUCGGAUCGUAAAGCUCUGUUGUAAGUCAAGAACGAGUGUGAGAGUGGAAAGUUCACACUGUGACGGUAGCUUACCAGAAAGGGACGGCUAACUACGUGCCAGCAGCCGCGGUAAUACGUAGGUCCCGAGCGUUGUCCGGAUUUAUUGGGCGUAAAGCGAGCGCAGGCGGUUUGAUAAGUCUGAAGUUAAGGCUGUGGCUCAACCAUAGUUCGCUUUGGAAACUGUCAAACUUGAGUGCAGAAGGGGAGAGUGGAAUUCCAUGUGUAGCGGUGAAAUGCGUAGAUAUAUGGAGGAACACCGGUGGCGAAAGCGGCUCUCUGGUCUGUAACUGACGCUGAGGCUCGAAAGCGUGGGGAGCGAACAGGAUUAGAUACCCUGGUAGUCCACGCCGUAAACGAUGAGUGCUAGGUGUUGGAUCCUUUCCGGGAUUCAGUGCCGCAGCUAACGCAUUAAGCACUCCGCCUGGGGAGUACGACCGCAAGGUUGAAACUCAAAGGAAUUGACGGGGGCCCGCACAAGCGGUGGAGCAUGUGGUUUAAUUCGAAGCAACGCGAAGAACCUUACCAGGUCUUGACAUCCCGAUGCUAUUUCUAGAGAUAGAAAGUUACUUCGGUACAUCGGUGACAGGUGGUGCAUGGUUGUCGUCAGCUCGUGUCGUGAGAUGUUGGGUUAAGUCCCGCAACGAGCGCAACCCCUAUUGUUAGUUGCCAUCAUUCAGUUGGGCACUCUAGCGAGACUGCCGGUAAUAAACCGGAGGAAGGUGGGGAUGACGUCAAAUCAUCAUGCCCCUUAUGACCUGGGCUACACACGUGCUACAAUGGUUGGUACAACGAGUUGCGAGUCGGUGACGGCAAGCUAAUCUCUUAAAGCCAAUCUCAGUUCGGAUUGUAGGCUGCAACUCGCCUACAUGAAGUCGGAAUCGCUAGUAAUCGCGGAUCAGCACGCCGCGGUGAAUACGUUCCCGGGCCU